AUGGUAUGAUAGAAAUUUAAACCCUUUUUAAGUAUCAAUUGGAGGGCAAGUCUGGUGCCAGCAGCCGCGGUAAUUCCAGCUCCAAUAGCGUAUAUUAAAAUUGUUGCAGUUAAAAAGCUCGUAGUUGAAGUUCUGCUGAAAGUAACCGGUCUGCUUUUAAUAAAAGUGGUAUCUUGGUAUGUAUUUAGCAAUGAUGUCCUUUGAAGUGUUUUUUACUUUAUUGUAAUAAAGCAUAUUCAGGACUUUUACUUUGAGAAAAUUAGAGUGUUUCUAGCAGGCUGACGCUUUGAAUACUGCAGCAUGGAAUAAUAAGAUAGGAUUUUAGUUCUACAUUAUUGGUUUUAAGAGCUAAAUUAAUGAUUGAUAGGGACAGUUGGGGGCAUUUGUAUUUAACUGUCAGAGGUGAAAUUCUUAGAUUUGUUAAAGACAAACUACUGCGAAAGCAUUUGCCAAAGAUGUUUUCAUUAAUCAAGAACGAAAGUUAGGGGAUCGAAGAA
rnacentral:rRNA from 1 species